AUUAGCCCGGAUCUUUAAUUAAGUUCAAGUUCUAAUGGAAUGGACCUCAACCCCUAACCAACCUGUGGUUAGAAACCUUGGUAUAAUGUAGACGCCACAAUAGGGGAUGGAAAACCUAUUGAUAAGUCAACCUAAAACAACCAAUUCUCUAAUGGUGUUUUAGGUGUUCUCAAAGAACAAAGGGAUAAUUAAUCUCACAAGUAUUUUCUUAUUCAAAUCAAAGUUGUAUUAUUAUUGAAAAAUAAGCCUUUAAAUAGGCUUUGAAAGAAACAAAAUAAACCCUAAAAACCCUAGGUAAAACCGGCCACUCAAUGAAGAGUUCUAUGAUGGCCGAAACUCUCACUCUUUUCCUAAUCUCAUUUGGAUUAAUUAAUUCCGUUAUGUUGAAUUAGAAAUUAAUUAAUCUACAAUGGAAAUAAUAAAAUAAUAACUUUCCUAAACUUAUUUGUCCAGUAAAUAAAUAAAUAAAAUCUAAAAAUUAAAGGUAGUAUCCUAAAACAAAAAGUGGAAUAAAAUUAGGAAACUAUAUUACUAGCUUUUUGACUAAAUCGACUUUGACCAAUCUUUGACCAAAUUGAGCUCCAAAUAAGCUUCAAUAUGCUUUGUAGGGUGCCAAAUAAGCUUAUUGUGAAGUUCCUCACGUUGCCCUUGCUUGGAAGUAUGAGAAAAGACUAAUACAGUAAAAUACAGUAAAGCAAGCAAGGAAUACAACAAAUCCAGCCUUUCCUUCUCCUUGUGCGCAAAACACCUUGUUGGUCGGCUUUGAAGCUGCUUUGGCUGGUUUCUGUGACUCAUCCUUCAUAUGAAUUGAACCCAUAAGGAUUGGAUUCCAGUUCAUACAACCCGGCCUCUUUAAUAUCACCAAAAACGUCACCCGACCCUGUUUUGGCUUCUAUUGCUUGUAUGAGUAAAAUAGGCCUUGGUUCUUUAGAUGUGGCCAACCCCUAUUGACUAUGACUUAUUCCUUGUAUGAAGACAGCAAGAUUGUCCUUGAACUUCUUGGCUUGGGCCCUAGUGAUCGGUCCCACCUUCAUUUGUAUUGGGUCAGCACCCUAGCGGGUUGUCGGGCGAACAGUCUCGGGUGGAUUCGAAUCAGUUCCGCCUAGAGGGAAGCACCUGUUCAAGCAAUGGUAGACAAAGCGAAAGCGAGAAUGUCAGCUUGAGUAACACAAAUAUUGAUGAGAAUCCAAUGUCCUAAAAACGUAAGGAUUCCUCUGCAAGGUUCAUCCACGGAGGGUGAGCCAGGGCAUAAGAUCAGGCUGAAAGGCGUAUUCGAUGCACAACAGAUGAAUAGUCCUGUACUACCCUUUAUUGGUUCCGAGGGACGGAGGAGGCUAGGUUAGCUGAAGGAUGGUUAUCAGUUCAAGGACACAAGGUGCCUUUGCCUUUUCAGGGUAAGAAGGGGUAGAGAAAAUGCCCCGAGCCAAUGUUCGAGUACCAGGCGCUACAGCACUGAAGUAACCCAUGCCACACUCCCAGGAAAAGCUCGAACGACCUUCAACAAAAGGGUACUUGUACCCAAAACUGACACAGGUGGGUAGGUAGAGAAUACCUAGGGAUGUGAGAAAACUCUCUCUAAGGAACUCAGCAAAAUAGCCCCAUAACUUUGGGAGAAGGGGUACCUCCUCACAAAGAGGGUCACAGUGACCAGGCCUGCGCGACUCUUUACCAAUAUCACAGGUCUGUGCAAAGUUGUAAGACCAUGUAUGGGGGUUGACACCUACCCAGUGCUAGAAGGUCUAGGAAUUUGGUAACCUUAUGAUAGGGGAGCUGGCGACUGAGGCCCCAGUGAACAGCAACCGUAAUUAUAACGGUCCUAAGGUAGGUAAAUUCCUUGUUGGAUAAGUUCUGACCCGCAUAAAAGGCGUAGCAAUUUAGGCACUGUCUUAGAGAAAGGCUCGGUGAAAUAAAUAUGUCUAUGAAUAUAUGGACUACCUGCACCUGGACAGAAAGACCCUAUGAAGCUUCACUAUUCCCUGGGAUUGGCUUUGGGCCUCUCCUACACAACUUAGGUGGAGGGCGAAGAAGGCCUCCUUCCGAGGGGCCCAAACCAUGAGUGAGAUACUAAUAUGGAAGAGCUAGAAUUCUAACCUUGUGUCAGGACCUAUGAGCCAAGGGUCAGUCUUAGGUAGACAGUUUCUAUAGGGCAUAGGCCUUCCAAAAGGUAACGGAGACGUGCAAAGGUUUCCUCAGGCCAGACGGAGAUUGGCCCUCGAGUACAAAGGUAGAAGGGAGCUUAACUGCAAGACCCACCCGUCGAGCGGGGACAAAAAUAGGCCUUAGUGAUCCGACGAUGCUGAGUGGAAGGACCAUCGCUUAAUGGAUAAAAGUUACUAAAGGGAUAACAGGCUGAUUUUCCCCAAGAGCUCACAUCGACGGGAAGGUUUAGCACCUCAAUGUCGGCUCUUCGCGACCUAGGGCUAUAGUAUGUUCCAAGGGUUGGGCUAUUCACCCAUUAAAGUGGUACAUGAGCUGGAUUCAAAACAUCGUGAGACAGUUUGGUCCAUAUCCGAUGUGGGCAUUAGAGCAUUGAGAGGACCGGGAAGGAUGCACCUCUGGUGUACCAAUUAUUAUGCCCAUGGUAAACGCUGGGUAGCCAAGUGCGGAGCUAAUAACUGCUGAAAGCAUCUAAGUAGUAAGCCCACCAAGAUAAAUGCUCUCCUAUUCCAACUUCCUUAGAGCUUUCGAUAGCACAGCCAAGACAGUGAUAGGUUUUUUGCCCUUGCGGGGGUGGAGCGACAGAAGUUUUGAGAAUUCAAGAGAAGGUCACGGUGAGAUGAGCCGUUUAUCAUUACGAUAGGUGUCAAGUGGAAGUGCAGUGAUGUAUGCAGCUGAGGCAUCCUAAUAGACCGAUAGACUUGAAC
rnacentral:rRNA from 1 species